rfam:Cryptococcus pinus CBS 10737 unplaced genomic scaffold supercont1.2, whole genome shotgun sequence.
GCCCACGUAGCUCAAUUGGUUAGAGCAUCCGACUUUUAAGAGUUUCGAUUCAAUUCGAUGCUUAAAGGUCAUCGGAAGGCUGGGGGUUCGAGUCCCCCCGUAGGCU